rnacentral:rRNA from 1 species
AUUGAACGCUGGCGGCAGGCUUAACACAUGCAAGUCGAGCGGGGGAAGGUAGCUUGCUACUGGACCUAGCGGCGGACGGGUGAGUAAUGCUUAGGAAUCUGCCUAUUAGUGGGGGACAACAUCUCGAAAGGGAUGCUAAUACCGCAUACGUCCUACGGGAGAAAGCAGGGGAUCUUCGGACCUUGCGCUAAUAGAUGAGCCUAAGUCGGAUUAGCUAGUUGGUGGGGUAAAGGCCUACCAAGGCGACGAUCUGUAGCGGGUCUGAGAGGAUGAUCCGCCACACUGGGACUGAGACACGGCCCAGACUCCUACGGGAGGCAGCAGUGGGGAAUAUUGGACAAUGGGGGGAACCCUGAUCCAGCCAUGCCGCGUGUGUGAAGAAGGCCUUAUGGUUGUAAAGCACUUUAAGCGAGGAGGAGGCUACUUUAGUUAAUACCUAGAGAUAGUGGACGUUACUCGCAGAAUAAGCACCGGCUAACUCUGUGCCAGCAGCCGCGGUAAUACAGAGGGUGCGAGCGUUAAUCGGAUUUACUGGGCGUAAAGCGUGCGUAGGCGGCUUAUUAAGUCGGAUGUGAAAUCCCCGAGCUUAACUUGGGAAUUGCAUUCGAUACUGGUGAGCUAGAGUAUGGGAGAGGAUGGUAGAAUUCCAGGUGUAGCGGUGAAAUGCGUAGAGAUCUGGAGGAAUACCGAUGGCGAAGGCAGCCAUCUGGCCUAAUACUGACGCUGAGGUACGAAAGCAUGGGGAGCAAACAGGAUUAGAUACCCUGGUAGUCCAUGCCGUAAACGAUGUCUACUAGCCGUUGGGGCCUUUGAGGCUUUAGUGGCGCAGCUAACGCGA